CAAGGAAAAGGGGAGGAUAAAUAUGGAUAAGAAGCUACAAAUCAAAAGAAAUAGAGGAGCAAUGGGGAACAAGUGUAAACACAUUCAAACACACCCAAAACCUCUAAUUCAAUCCUCUUCUUGACUCCAUUAUUCACAAAUUUUUUUAUUUUUCUAAUUUUUUCCAUUUGUUUUUAUUUUUCUCAUCUUGUCUCUUUUUCUUUUUCUCUUUUCUUUUCAUAACACAACUUCAAGAGACAAG
rnacentral:lncRNA from 1 species